CUCCUCCUUCACUUGAUCCUUGGACCAGCAGCAAGAUACCUGCGGCGGUGGGCCCUUUAUAUAAUGAGCCCCACCGCUUCCAGAAAAUUCAACACAAUCCUAUUGGCCCAAUUCCUACCUGCCCAAGGUGUGCAGAAAUAUUUAAAGGGGCAGCGACCCUGAAAGUGCUAUAUCUCUAAAAACCAUAAUAAUAGGUUUAAACCCCGGGGAGAAAGGCGGAGGCAACCUCAUGAAGGAAGGCCCAAAUAAUUUGUGUCCCCCUUUAACAUUUUUAAAAUAUGUUUUUUAAUACAGUUGCAAUUUUCAGGACUGUGCAUGUGCUGCUUUGCGUGCGUUGGGCGGCAUUCAAAAUGAACCGUAACCCACCGUGUAUAAUGCAUCAUUACAUAUAGUAGAAUUUUUUUUAUCUUUUUUUCGCCACCAGAGGGAGACGUAUCUAUUUAACUAGCGCACCCAGAGCCUUCUUCAUUCAGCUUUUGACAUCUCACCAUGAACGUCUGUCUCGCUCUAAUCCUGGGGUUGUGUAUUUCCCUCUCCUAUACUUAUGAAAAUGUCAGGAUGAAACCAAGAUUGACACAGCUUAAUCCAGGUGACUGUACGGUUGCAUUACCCAAUAAGCAACCAAAUGCUAUGUUCUACCUGGACAAUCCAGAUUCUCUGUACAUCGGGGGAGAGGAAGUUGUGUACCACUAUGAUUUUAGCACAUGGAAGGAAUACCCAAUUAAAGCAGAAAAGUACAGCUGUCGUGGGAAGGAUUUCUGUAGAAAUUUUGUGACAUAUGUGACACGAAAUGAUGGAUAUCUUAUGGCCUGUGGUACUAAUGCCUAUAGCCCUGCCUGCUGGAAAUUGGAUGGUGAAAAUUUUGAAAAAAUUAGUUCAAGUUGGGAUGGACAAUUAUCCCCUCGCUACCCAGGGCUCAAUUAUAAUAUUUUAAAAACAGGAAGUGAAACAUACUCUACAAUUCCCAAACAAUCCAACAAUGGGGCAAGCACAAAGAAAGCCACAUUCCGUAAGCUUUUUGGCAAAGAACCUUUGCGUUUCACAGGCGGGGAUCUCCUAAAGAAUCCUCUAUUUGUGAAAUCACUUGUAGUGGAGGGAGAAGAGGAAAUGCAAAAUAGGAUUUUUCUCUUCUUCAUGGAUGAUAACAGUGAACGUAGAACCACUGACAAGAGAGUGCCUAUGAUUGCUCGGAUGUGUAAGGAGGAGAAGGGAUCCGAGAAACCAGAUGAACGUUAUAUGUUUAGCACUGCUCUGAAAUCACGUUUAAUAUGUGGAAAUCAAGAGGGGCAGUAUUAUAACUUUUUGCAGGAUAUCUACUUUCUAGAAUCGCAGGACCUAAUUUAUGGGCUCUUCACUAAUCCAUGGAAUCACAGUGCUGUCUGCUCCUAUAAGACUGAGGACAUUGAGUUGGUUUUCAGCACUUCAGACUUGUUUGGGUCUACAAAAAAAGAUCUAAAGAUUCGUCCAGGGCAGUGCCGCUCAGAACUUACUCCGCAGGAAACAGCAGAAGAAGCAGGCAACCAUCCUGAACUCGUUGACUGGAUUUGGCCUUCAAAAAAUAAAACUGUUUUUCAGACUUUAGAUUACUACAGAAAACUUGUGGUUGAUGAGAUAACAGUAGUUAAUAAAGAAAUCUCCAGGGUCAUUAUAGUAGCAACAGAUGAUGGAAUUUUGCACAAGAUUGUGGAGCAAGUUGAUGGUGCUAUGAAUGUGUUGGAAAUGAAGCCCUUCAAUAACAUGAGUAAGAUCUUGUUCUUGGACCUGGAUCUAAAUAAUAGAGAGCAGCGUGUUUUGUAUGUGGGAAGUGCUCAAGAAUUUUCUAAAGUCCGCCUGGAUGACUGCCGAGCUUAUAACAAAAGCUGUUCAGAUUGCGUCUUAUCAAAGGACCCAUAUUGUGGCUGGUUCGGGGGCGAAUGCCAGUCUAUACUGAAUAAUAGCACUGGUCCAUUACACGAUUUGACCUCUGAAGCCUUAUGUGAGCAGAAGUCCGAAACUUUGCCUCAAAGAGGAAGUAUGUCCCCACCCUUAACUGAAAAUAAAGUGCUACCUCCAUCUGUCUUUUAUAUAACAUGCCCAGCAGAGUCAAAGCAAGCCACUUACUGGUGGACAUACGGUGACAACCUCAUGGAAAGUUGCACCCCACACAAUGGCAAAUGCGACUUAAUCUUUGACAAAAUCAAAGCCCCUGGAGAAUACAGAUGUAUGGAAAAAGAAGAAGGCAGAAAACAACGUUUGGUAUCAGAGUUUAAAUUUUCUAUGGAAAACAGCUCCUCGAGGAUGAGGCAUAGCUGGCUAGUGGCACUGGUGAUAAUUCCAGUGUGUAUAAACAUUGUAUAGCCAUUUCACACCCCCUGCUAUUAGCUGAGAUUUCCCAGCCUAGGCCAUCACAGAUAUGAUAUUGGACUUCAAGGGUUAAAAUACAAUGAUGGAAUGAACUGUGAGAUAAAAUACACAGUGAAAGGUCUAAACAUGAUGGGAAUCCGACAUAUGAAUGAUAUCUGACUACUUGUUAUCUCCGGGUCUACUCAUAUCUCAAAGAUCUAACCAGAUGAACAGACUUUUCAUGUAGGAUCUUGUGGCCGAAGGGCAGGGUUUAGGUCUACUUUGGGCUAAAAUAAACCUACAGAAAAACGUAUCCAUUUAAUGUGAAUGAAGACUGCAAAUUUAAAUUAAUUAUUUAAUCGUUAUCAGUAAACAUUUGUCACUGAGAAACAGAAACAGAUAAAAUAUAAAACAAGCUAACAAAUAUGAGUGAUAACGUUACGUGUCUAAUAGUAGUAUUUAGGAAUAGUUUAAUUCCACUGGAAACUGAACAGCUGUAAGGACUUUGUGCAGCUGUCAUCUGUAACAUGCACAAGUGUACCCUUUGUGUGGACAGACUAACUGCUUUUUAAUUCGAUUUUUCACAUUUCCAGCACAGUUGAAAAACAGGGAUGUGUAACUUGGUUCCUUUACAAAACCCCUUUUGUGAUGUAAUAGUGACAUCCAUAUUCCGCUGUGCUUUGCCUACGUAGCAGACAAAGGGUAUUUCAUAUGAGGAUUUGCCUUUUUAAACUGAAAUGCUCUUUUAACAGAAAAGGUUAUUUCAGAGUUGAGGACUCCUUAACCACUUAAGCCCCGGACCAUUUUGCUGGUCAAAGACCAGGUCAUUUUUUGCGAUUCGGCACUGCGUCG